AAUAUUCGAGCGCCAGAGGGUACCCGCAAGGGUUUAAAGGGGAAGCCGGUGAAAAUCCGGCGCGGGUCCGCCACCGUAACCGGGGACGAAAUCCACGUGAUGCCACUGGCUUUUAAGCCGGGAAGGCGUGGAGAGUAGGAUGAUCCGGGAGCCGGGAGACCUGCCCCUGGUCAAUUGACCAU
rnacentral:ncRNA from 2 species